rnacentral:sRNA from 1 species
GAGUAAAGGAGCAUGUAGUUCAUCCGGAGCAACAUCUUCCAAGUCAAGUACUCUGGGACCGAGUGCACUGAAGACGAUAGGAAGUUCAGCAUCAGUGAAACGAAAAGAAUCUUCCCAGAGCUCAGCUCAGUCUAAAGAAAAGAAGAAAAAGAAAUCUGCACUGGAUGAAAUCAUGGAGAUUGAAGAGGAAAAGAAAAGAACUGCCCGAACAGACUACUGGCUACAGCCUGAAAUUAUUGUGAAAAUUAUAACCAAGAAACUGGGAGAGAAAUAUCAUAAGAAAAAGGCUAUUGUUAAGGAAGUAAUCGACAAAUAUACAGCUGUUGUGAAGAUGAUUGAUUCUGGAGACAAGCUGAAACUUGACCAGACUCAUUUAGAGACAGUAAUUCCAGCACCAGGUGUCUUUGCCUUUUGGAAACUUAUCUGUAUCUGAGUACAAGCACUACUUUGACCAAGUUGUUUACCUCUGACUCAAAAUCUUCCUGGGGGUGUCAUUGCCAACGUAGUGAUAACAUCAGUCUCUGGAACUUCCAAUUAUCAUAUUCUUUAUUCUUUUUCCCCCUAAAGUAAAAAUUCUUUUUACAGAUUAGAAAAAUUUGUGUUAGCUUUAUUG